GUUCAGUUCUUUUCAAUUUCUCCUCUAGCAAGCUCAUUGGUUCACUGGGCUGUUGGCAUUGUAUAUAUGCUACAAAUAAGCAUAUUUGUCAAUCUCCUCCGAGGGGUUUUGCGCAGUGGAGUUUUGUACUUUCUUCGCGAUCCAGCUGACCCAAAUUAUAACCCUUUUCGAGAUUUAAUCGACGAUCCUAUGCACAAGCAUGCUCGCAGGGUUCUUCUAUCUGUCGCAGUGUA
rnacentral:misc_RNA from 1 species